UUGGCAGCACCACCCAACUACCACCCAAAUCAGUGCAGCGUGCAAAGCACGGAGACCAUCUCAGAGCUCCCUUAGCAUCACCCAGGUCUGAAAAGAACAACAGAACUCCAGGAGUUGAGGAGUUCCCAGCAUGAAAUAUGUCAAGAGCUGAAGUUAAUCACAGACAACAGGAGGCGGAAUGGACCUGGCUUGAGACAGUUGGACCCACCUUCACGCUCAUUUUUACUGUUGGAGCUCAGCACAGUAGAAACAGGCAUUUCUCGGCAGCGCAAAGAACAAUUUGUAUGUGCAUUCAGAAAGCUUUCCAGCCAGGAGCUC